CCGAACCACAUAGGUGCUUUCCAGCCAAAGAGCACACAGGUGGCGCCACUCGAUGGCCGGACGUCAGCGCCCCCUGGUGCAGAGCACUUGCGCAGCCCUGCCGAUCAUUUGGCGCGGUCGCGGUGGGCCGUCUUCAGUCCACCCAACGCGUCCAGAGGCAACCCUAGACCGACCGUGCCGCCCGACAAAAAAAAGCCCGGGAAGUGGUGCGCCGCUCACGUGCGGAUAGCGUGGGAGAUCUACCAUCACCAACAACGCCAGCAAGCAGAGGCGCAGAAGGACC